rnacentral:rRNA from 1 species
UACGAAGGGUGCAAGCGUUGUCCGGAAUCACUGGGCGUAAAGGGCGCGUAGGUGGCUAGGUAAGCGUGUGGUGAAAGUCCAGGGCUCAACCCCGGAUCUGCCGUGCGAACUGCCAAGCUCGAGCAAUGUAGAGGCAGGUGGGAUUUCGGGUGUAGCGGUGGAAUGCGUAGAUAUCCGAAAGAACACCAGUGGCGAAGGCGGCCUGCUGGGCAUUUGCUGACACUGAGGCGCGACAGCGUGGGGAGCAAAC